rnacentral:lncRNA from 1 species
GACUCUCUUUUCGGACUCAGCCCGCCUGCACCCAGGUGAAAUAAACAGCCUUGUUGCUCACACAAACGUGCAUGAAAUUUGGUACUGUGACCCGGAUCAGAGUACCUCCCUUGGGAGAUGAAUCCCCUGUCCUCCUGCUCUUUGCUCCAUGAGAAAGAUCCACCUAGGACCUCGGGUCCUCAGACCGACCAGCCCAAGGAACAUCUCACCAAUUUCAAAUCUGGACCCCACUGAAAAUCGGACUGUUCAACUCACCUGGCAGCCACUCCCAGAGCCCCUGGAACUCUGGGCCAAGGCUCUCUGACUCCUUCCCAGAUCUUUUCAGCUUAGCAGCUGAAGACUGACACUGCCCAAUCACCUCAGAAGCCCCCUAGACCAUCACGGAUGCCGAGCUUCAAGUAACUCUCACAGUGGAGGAAACGCGCAUGAAACAAACAAACAAAAAAACUCUUUUGGUAGCAGAAUAAAAAAACAAAAAAAGGACUUGUUCUUUUGGACUGAACUGUAUUUAAAUCUCAAAGGAUGGACAUCUCACAACCUUCCUACAGCAAGUACUGUGAGAAGUCAAAGGGGGAGAGAAAAAGAUAAUAAAAUAUAUCUUCAAAGAGGAGAAGAAAUCUGAUCUUUCUCUACGUCUGCUUAGUUGGCAUAACUUUAGGAUGUCCAUAAGUUGUGGCUUUCCUGGGAAAAUCUGAUUUUACACUGGUUAUCCCAACAUAAUAUUAAUGGUAUCCUCUUAGACUCUCAAUAGUGUCUGGUUUGGAUGACAAAUUCUGUGAUCUUUUUAGCCAACGGCUACUGAAGCUGUCAGAUUUAUUGCACAAAAUAUAUUUUUAAAAAUAAGUAGCACAAGAUGAAAUAUGGCCUCAAAUUUCUUGGUUAGUUUCCACUAGAAAGUUUUAAACAUUAAAAAGUACAAAAUUAAUUACAUUUAUUGAAUGAUAAAGUAUAACUAUUUGAGUGUUUAA